UUUUAUUUCAAUUUCUCUGAAAAGUUUAUAUGCUCAUGCCAAUACAACACUUACUUUUACUGUAGUAGUAACCUAUGUCACCAGAAUAAAUGCUGCAAAAAUCAAGCACAUAGAUUUGAUGCCCUACAGAGCUCUUUCAUCACUGGCUUGUCAAACUUUGCUGCUGUCCACUGCAGCUUCAUACCAAAUAAAACAUUCUACAAUAACAACAAAAAUAUGACAGCAACAAACCCCAUGGUAGUAAUCACAUAUUUUUUAUUCAAGGCCAUGCUUGUUUCUUGGUGGCUAAUACAUAUCUGAUAUCUGCUUUUUUUCAAUGUUCAAAAAAUAAUUAGAGACAGAGUUACUGGGGUAACUCUGGGGGCUGGGGGAAUGGAAGCCCCACUACUUCUGUGCCUCACAAGCACAAAUCCCAGCUCAUCCUUUCCCUGUAGCAGGUCUGCUCAAUCCUCUUCCCAAGUGGCCCCAACAAUGAAUCUAAGCUUACUUCAGAUAGAGAGGGUCUCCUAAAGAAGCUGCUUCCCUUAUAUCUAAGGGGCCUCCUUGUUUAUUUGAAACCAAAAUGUACAGUCCUUUCUCAUUAGCAGUUAUCCUAAAUCUCCUAGGAGGCACAAUAUGCAUCAUUUCUAUAAAGAAACUAUUGUGUCAGACCACAGGUCUGAUAUGCAGCCUCCCCCAAGUGACAGUGGUUUGGAGAAACUCAUCCACGUAAUUUGUGAUGAGGUUGCUGAAGGUAGUAAGCAUAUGAAGAAAUAAUGAGCAAAAAUAAAACCUAUUUUCUUAUUACUAUCAUCUGACUAAUCCUUUAGAGUGUGGGUCACUGACCAGCUCAUGGGACAUAUGGGAGACAGCAUAAGGCAGGGAGGACGCUCAUUAAACUGGAUAGUUUCAUGGUAAUACUAGAACUUAAAACUUGAUUAAAAUAGAAAAUCCAUAUGUGAUUUCACUGAUAAUCUGUUUUUUAAAAGUAUAAUUUCCUUAAGAUAGGUUUAUACAGGCACAACUCAAACAGGCAAAUAAAUUUAUGCAAAUCAUACUAUGUUUGAGAUAUAAAACUAGAAUAUUUAGUUUUAUAAAAGCAAAACUGUCUUCUGCAAAGAUUUUUAUCUGUGCACCUCGGCUGCACAGCACAAAGAGCUGAAAUCAGAGCCACCAUGUGCCCCAGUACAGACACAUCCAGCUCUGGCAGCUGCCCACAGGGGACUGCAAACUACCUGGAAAGGACAGGGGUGGCUUCUGCCACUCACCACUCUGUACCUGCACUGUCUCCUGAGCACACGCACUCUCUGUCCCUGGGCAGGCUGCAACACCUCACUGGAUAUAAACUUGUGCAGCAUCUGAAAAGUGUUGGGAGGCUUAAUUGCCCAUGAGGUGGUUGAGAAGUGAUGCAGCAAUGCAGUGAGGUUACUAGACUAGACAAUUAUAUUUGCUGUUUUAUUUAUUCUUACAGAAAGAAGCAAGAGAGGAAAGACAGAUACCAAUCUUGCUGGCCACUAACUGCACAAAAAUAGAGCAGCAUUAAAAACCUUUCUUGUAUCAGAAUCCAUGAGGCUUCUUAUCAACAUUCAUUGGCUGACAUGCAGAUCACUGUAUUGACAGAAAUACAUGACUGGACUAUGUAAUAAUUGUUUUGCUGGGACAAAUCUGAUAUUAUAUUGCAAUCAGAACUGUAUGUCUUCUAAGAGACUUAAAGCUGGUUAUUUGUAUUGACAGCUAUAUAACCUUUGACUGCAGUCUUGGUAAUUCACCUGCUCUUUGCCCAGGGGGAAAUCCUGACCCGCCAGAGUGGUCUCCAUCCUGCUGGACUCAUUGGUCUUCCCUCUUCCCAUUGCACCUCUCCCUGUCUGCAAAUUCUACUGCAGAGCCUGGCAAAGACCUGUAAAAGAGAAGUGCUGUCCCUACAACUGCACCUUUCCCAGCUGAGACCUGCAUGGCAAACCCUGAUGGAUCUGCUGCCAUGCCUCUGGGUCCUGCUUCAGUAAUGCCCUGGAGCCUGCUCUGUUUGUUGUUUCAGAGAUUUCAUGUUAGGAGGGGAGGAGGAGGAGGAGGAAGAGGAUGCCCUCCUUAUGCAGUCACACAGCCUGGGGCAACAUCCUCUGUAAACAUCCUCCUAUCAGGAGCUCAAGGUCAUCCGGCCGUUUUUCUCAGAGACUCCAUGCCAUGUCCAGGCUGCUGCAGCAACAGUCUUGUGGUCAUUUUUUCCCACUGAAUUUGUCCAGCUCAGAGCUUUCUCGUGAAACACUGGCACUUUCCUGUGCACUUGUCCACAAAACAACCUCUUUUCAAGGAAAACAGAUGUCCACAAUAGUUUGUUUUACACACUUAUUAUUGGAAGGUUUUCCUAAGCAAGGAGGAUUUAGCCUUGACAAAGUCACCCUUGAGAGGUGACUUUAUAUAUAUAUAUAUAUAAAGUGUAUAUAUAUCUAUUACAUCCAAUAAUAUAUGUAUGCUUUUAUUUCUAAGAGGAAUUGUUUCUCAGACAAUAACAUGACCCAGAACCUUUGCCAAAGAUGAAGUUGUAUGAUUUCACAGACACCUCACUGAGGCAGAAAGAACAUGAUUUCCAAUUUCAGGUGCAAAGCGAGAUUCAAAGAUCCCCAAAAUUCAGAGAGGUUCAGUCCUGGUGUUGGGUUUUCACCCAUCACCACACCUCUAUAAUCUUUGCACCAUUUAGCACAUCUCAGGCUUGUUGUGGCAGCCCAAAGGAGCCAUGGUGAAGUCACUCACUGUCUGCACCUGGAUUCCCUUAGCAAUACUUCAUCCAGCUCUGGGAUGAAGACGAAAGGAUGAGAAGAAAGUGGAACAAAGAAUCAAGUAGCAGAAGAGCAUGGCAGGUACUAAAUGGAAUAGGAAAAUGGAGACUACAGAAAAAUGAGGGAAUUAAGUUUGGAAAUUUUAGUUUUACAAGAAAAGGAGAGAAAAGGAAAUUACAUGAAAAGGAAAAAAAUGAGGAAAUCAUGAAGAAGGGAAAGAAUUAAUACAGGAAAGGGCAGAGAAUAAGUUGGGAAAAUAGACUGUUAAUAUACUUUAAUUCUAUUUUACUACACUUCCUCCAGUGAAGAUGGGAGCACAACUUUGCUUUCAGAGAGAUAGUCAGUGCCUCCUCUUGGAAAGGGAGGAGCUCACUGGCACUUUUAUUUUUCCUGUUAUGCCUUCUGAGAGCAGGGUUUACAAUCACUAGGGAGGCUGAAGCAGGAAGCUGCAGACUUCCAGGCAGCAGGGAGGAGCUCUGCCUCGCAGGCAGACCCUGGGGACCUGUUCAAGGCCAAAGGUGACUUUCCCUCUCACCCAAAACCAGUCGGAGGGGAGUCGGCACAGGGGUGAUGCUGUGCUCCCAAAGCCAGAGGCAGCUGGGGCUCUCCAGGCUGCUAAGGCUGCGUGUGGCCAGAUUUUCUGCUGAGCAGGAGCUGCACAUACGGGAAAUGCCACAGGGCUUUUCACUUCUGUGAGCCUCCUGUCAGCUCACUCUCCAACUGUUGGAGCUGUAGACAGAGACUCUCAGACAGAGCUCAGCUUCUGCUCUUUUUAGGUGCUGUAAAGAGGCCAAAACACUUGAACCUCUGGUGCAAUAACUUUCCCUGUGGUUAUACAUUGAUGUCAUAAAUAUCAUGUUAUAACACCAAUGGAAGCUGAUGAAAAGGAGAAGCAGGGCAGGGAGGAAGGAACCCUAAAAUGAUGACAUUUAUCUCAAUGAGAAACUGCAUCCAGAAAGAACAGCCAGGAAAUCCAUUUGGUAGAGGGGAGUUCUCUUCAGGCUCAUGCAGACUGUUCCCCUUUCAGCACAUCUCUGCAGUGCAAGGGCAAAUCAAGGCAACGGCAAAUUACAAUAAUCUAACGUGGCUGCAGAACUCACACAGGCUUUUUAAUUUUUUCUUUCUAACCAUAAUGACUGAACGGCCUGAAGGAGGUUUCUUUAUCCUACAACCUGGAAUUUGGAGCAACUGCAGCUCAUGUAGCACUGACAGAAUCUACAGAGCAGAUGAAUUUGCUUCCCUCUGGCUACAUGCUUAUUCUAGGUAAUUCCAAAGGGCAGAUUUAAAAAAUGUUCGUCUCUUACAUGAACAUGAUAAAAAGCUCCUGAUAAAAACCCAUUCAGUUGCACAGAGACCCAGAAAGCAGGUCACCAUUCCCAUGGUUCAGACUAGACCCAAAGUGGUAGCCUUUAAGAACAGAUAUGUCCACUACAAACAAACAGAAAUGUCUAAAUUCCUUUAGUGUAGUCUGGAGUCAGCCAAAAGAUGGUGGAAUCAAACCUCUGUGAAGCUGGUGGGGAGGAACCACUUGAGUCCAAGACAUGAAGUUUUCCUAAGAGAACAGACAAAAUGUGAGGUCCGAAGGAGUGCCUACAGCAUCAGGUGACACUGACAGGCACUGCUGAAAGGAGGCCCCUUCUUCUCCAUUUGGCAGGAAUGGGGGAUCACAGUGCUGUGAACCAUCCUGAUUGACUCAGGUUUCCCAAGUGGCUUUUGAAGUGGCCAAAGUGGCCAAAGUGGCCUGUUGCUAUCACUGCUGACUCAAAAAAGGUCUGUCAGAGCUAGAUGGCAGCUUUGGCUGCACUGCCAUUGAUACCUCCAUGCAAAUUACCACUUAGUCUUCUGCAAUUAUUUCAUUAAUUCAGGGGCAAAGUAGUUCCAUUGAGAAAAAUGAAAUUGCCGCAGGAAUUCAUGACUAAGGAGAAACAUAAAUCUCUCCCAGCAAGAGCUUGAACUGCUAAUGUCCUCACUCAUCCAGCAGCCUCCAGCCACAAGCAGACAUCUGGCAGUGGUUCUGUCCUUCCCCCAGGAGCUGGCUCCUCAUCUCCCAUCGUGAGGACGAGGAGGUGCCCUGGCUUGGGGCAUCUCUUGUGCAGGGCAGGCUGCUGCAGCUGGGGCUGCAUGGCAGCGACCAGACUGCCCCGGCACAGCUGUGAAUCCCGGCCAGCAACGGCAGGAAAGGAUUUCAGUUCAGGCUUCCCAUAAUUCUGUUCUUCCCACUAGUAAUUAAAGUGACAUUUUCCUUGCCAUCUGUAGGAUUUUUUGAUGAUGCAAUUGAGUGAUCUGUCAACAGCCCUGUUUCCAGUAGAAAACAGAGCAAAAAGACUGCCUGCUUCCCUGAGCAGAACCAGAAGAAAUUAAAAAUGUCAACUCUUGCAAAAAUGGGGCUGUUUGCCCUUGCAAGCUCUUGCACAUGAAUAAUUCUGAAGGAAAAUAAUAUCCUCUAAUAUUAAAUCUUCUCAAGAAUAAAAAUCAUCCAAACAUUUCACACAGGAAAUAUGACCUUGAAUUAACUAACCCCAUAUUAAUUAGAGUAGUAAAAAAUCCAUUUUAACAAAAUUUAUUUGCUCCACAAGGAUUUUUUAAAAAGAAUAUGAAAUUGUAGUGUUUUUUAAUUCACCAGCACUGCAAAAACUAUUUUCUUUUACAUUUAUCUCCUUCUUUGCCUUUCUUUUUUUUAAUAGAGUGACUGGUUUUUGUAGUGCUUAUCUGUUGGAAAUUGUUAAUACCUCUCAGGUUUCAACAACCUGUCAAAACCGAGCAGUAUGAUAAACAUUUAUGUAAUAUUCAUCUUUCGGGAAAUAAUUGAAAUAGUACAUAUCAGAUUAGUUGAAAAAGGCUGUAGUUUUGAUAUCAUACAAAGAUAUCCUUUCUGAGUAAAAUAAAUAUAUGAAGGCAGACAGAAGAGGCAAACAAAAUAAUGAAAAGUCUCUACUUGGAAAUGGGCAAUGAUCCUAAAAACCAGAUUGAGUCUAUGUUUAUUUUAUAAGAGUGCAAAAGAGGGAGAAAGAAGUACUUUGAAAGCAUUUGUAUAGUUUUCUGAAUAAUUUAAGACUUAAGAGAAUAUAAUAUAGUAUCAACUUUAGUAGCUAAUUGCUUUGAAUACCCUAACAGAGAA
ensembl:lncRNA